GACGAACGCUGGCGGCGUGCCUAAUACAUGCAAGUUGAGCGCUGAAGGUUGGUACUUGUACCAACUGGAUGAGCAGCGAACGGGUGGGUAACGCGUGGGGAGUCUGCCUUUGAGCGGGGGACAACAUUUGGAAACGAAUGCUAAUACCGCAUAAAAACUUUAAACACAAGUUUUAAGUUUGAAAGAUGCAAUUGCAUCACUCAAAGAUGAUCCCGCGUUGUAUUAGCUAGUUGGUGAGGUAAAGGCUCACCAAGGCGAUGAUACAUAGCCGACCUGAGAGGGUGAUCGGCCACAUUGGGACUGAGACACGGCCCAAACUCCUACGGGAGGCAGCAGUAGGGAAUCUUCGGCAAUGGACGAAAGUCUGACCGAGCAACGCCGCGUGAGUGAAGAAGGUUUUCGGAUCGUAAAACUCUGUUGGUAGAGAAGAACGUUGGUGAGAGUGGAAAGCUCAUCAAGUGACGGUAACUACCCAGAAAGGGACGGCUAACUACGUG
rnacentral:rRNA from 1 species